ACAACGGAAGUCUAAGUCUCACAUGGCUAUCUUAGACACAAUCACAAAACAUAAGUAGGGACACGGCCCUUUACAAUAAAAAAAAGUCUAUUAAGUCUAUUACAAGAACCUUAUCAUAAAAUUAGAAUAGAAAAGUCUUGUCCUCGACAUAUGAGGACAUACCACAAGAUCUUGGAAGAACUUCAAGUUCCAAGCUUACUAUAGAACCCGCUCACUUUC
rnacentral:lncRNA from 1 species